AGUGAACGCUGGCGGUAGGCCUAACACAUGCAAGUCGAACGGCAGCACAGUAAGAGCUUGCUCUUGCGGGUGGCGAGUGGCGGGCGGGUGAGGAAUACAUCGGAAUCUACUUUUUCGUGGGGGAUCACGUAGGGAAACUUACGCUAAUACCGCAUACGACCUACGGGUGAAAGCAGGGGAUCUUCGGACCUUGCGCGAUUGAAUGAGCCGAUGUCGGAUUAGCUAGUUGGCGGGGUAAAGGCCCACCAAGGCGACGAUCCGUAGCUGGUCUGAGAGGAUGAUCAGCCACACUGGAACUGAGACACGGUCCAGACUCCUACGGGAGGCAGCAGUGGGGAAUAUUGGACAAUGGGCGCAAGCCUGAUCCAGCCAUACCGCGUGGGUGAAGAAGGCCUUCGGGUUGUAAAGCCCUUUUGUUGGGAAAGAAAAGCAGCAGGUUAAUACCCCGCUGUUCUGACGGUACCCAAAGAAUAAGCACCGGCUAACUUCGUG
rnacentral:rRNA from 1 species